CAUUGACUCUUAAACACAAGAAUUCUUCUUGCACUAUUUUGCUGCAUUUUGCACAAUUCAUGUGAUCGGAGGUGGACACACAAGCCUUCAAGCUCAAAUUUUGAUGACAAUGGUUCUUCAAAACCCACCCUUUUUUUUGUUGGUUUAUUGAUAACUCGUGAUGUGCAGCAAGAACAAAUGGGAGAACCAGUGAUAGACUGGGUUGGGUAUUCGGGACCAUGCAACACUUUAUUUGGGCAAUGAAUGGUGUUAGAUAUCACAAAAUGGACUGGGUCAUGGAUUAUGUGUUACUCUGAAAUAAGGAAACCAAACAGAAAUCAAUU